rnacentral:rRNA from 1 species
UUGAACGCUGGCGGCAGGCCUAACACAUGCACGUCGAGCGGAUGAAGGGAGCUUGCUCCCGGAUUCAGCGGCGGACGGGUGAGUAAUGCCUAGGAAUCUGCCUGGUAGUGGGGGAUAACGUCCGGAAACGGGCGCUAAUACCGCAUACGUCCUGAGGGAGAAAGUGGGGGAUCUUCGGACCUCACGCUAUCAGAUGAGCCUAGGUCGGAUUAGCUAGUUGGUGGGGUAAAGGCCUACCAAGGCGACGAUCCGUAACUGGUCUGAGAGGAUGAUCAGUCACACUGGAACUGAGACACGGUCCAGACUCCUACGGGAGGCAGCAGUGGGGAAUAUUGGACAAUGGGCGAAAGCCUGAUCCAGCCAUGCCGCGUGUGUGAAGAAGGUCUUCGGAUUGUAAAGCACUUUAAGUUGGGAGGAAGGGCAGUAAGUUAAUACCUUGCUGUUUUGACGUUACCAACAGAAUAAGCACCGGCUAACUUCGUG